AUUGAACGCUGGCGGCAGGCCUAACACAUGCAAGUCGAACGAGUGGCGGACGGGUGAGUAAUGUCUGGGAAACUGCGCGAUGGGGGGGGAUCACUACUGGAAAGGGUAUCUAAUACCGCAUACCAUCGGGUGUGCCCAGAUGGGAUUAGCUAGUAGGGGGGGUAACGGCUCACCUAGGCGACGAUCCCUAGCUGGGCUGAGAGGAUGCCCCGCCAAACUGGAACCGGGGCAAGGGCCCAACUCCUACGGGAGGGCGCAGGGGGGAAUCAUUCGCAAUGGACGGAAGUCUGACGGAGCAACGCCGCGUGAGGGAAGACGGGCUUCGGGUUGUAAAGCUCGUUAAUCGGGAAGACGGUACCGGAAGAGAAAGCAACGGCUAACUCCGUGCCAGCAGCCGCGGUAAUAC
rnacentral:rRNA from 1 species